rnacentral:rRNA from 1 species
CCUACGGGAUGCUGCAGUGGGGAAUAUUGCACAAUGGGGGAACCCCUGAUGCAGCGACGCCGCGUGAGUGAAGAAGUAUCUCGGUACGUAAAGCUCUAUCAGCAGGGAAGAAAAUGACGGUACCUGACUAAGAAGCCCCGGCUAACUACGUGCCAGCAGCCGCGGUAAUACGUAGGGGGCAAGUGUUAUCCGGAUUUACUGGGUGUAAAGGGAGCGUAGACGGGAGCACAAGUCUGGAGUGAAAUCCCGGGGCUUAACCCCGGAACUGCUUUGGAAACUGUGCGGCUGGAGUGCCGGAGGGGUAAGCGGAAUUCCUAGUGUAGCGGUGAAAUGUGUAGAGAUUAGGAGGAAAACCGGUGGCGAAGGCGGCUUACUGGACUGUAACUGACGUUGAGGCUCGAAAGCGUGGGGAGCAAACAGGAUUAGAUACCCGAGUAGUC